rnacentral:rRNA from 1 species
AUUGAACGCUGGCGGCAUGCUUUACACAUGUCAGUCGAACGGUAACAGGCCUUCGGGUGCUGACGAGUGGCGAACGGGUGAGUAAUGCAUCGGAACGUGCCCAGAGGUGGGGGAUAACGCAGCGAAAGCUGUGCUAAUACCGCAUGUGAUCUGAGGAUGAAAGCGGGGGACCAGGCAGCAAUGUUUGGCCUCGCGCCUUUGGAGCGGCCGAUGUCAGAUUAGGUAGUUGGUGGGGUAAAGGCCUACCAAGCCGACGAUCUGUAGCUGGUCUGAGAGGACGACCAGCCACACUGGGACUGAGACACGGCCCAGACUCCUACGGGAGGCAGCAGUGGGGAAUUUUGGACAAUGGGCGCAAGCCUGAUCCAGCAAUGCCGCGUGCGGGAAGAAGGCCUUCGGGUUGUAAACCGCUUUUGUACGGAACGAAAGGGCUCUGGCUAAUACCUGGGGCUGAUGACGGUACCGUAAGAAUAAGCACCGGCUAACUACGUG